GUGGGGAAUAUUGCACAAUGGGCGCAAGCCUGAUGCAGCAACGCCGCGUGCGGGAUGACGGCCUUCGGGUUGUAAACCGCUUUCAGUAGGGACGAAGGGUGACUGACGGUACCUACAGAAGAAGGACCGGCUAACUACGUGCCAGCAGCCGCGGUGAUACGUAGGGUCCGAGCGUUGUCCGGAAUUAUUGGGCGUAAAGGGCUUGUAGGCGGUCCGUCGCGUCAGAAGUGAAAACUCAGGGCUUAACCCUGAGCCUGCUUUUGAUACGGGCGGACUAGAGGGAUGCAGGGGAGAACGGAAUUCCUGGUGGAGCGGUGGAAUGCGCAGAUAUCAGGAGGAACACCGGUGGCGAAGGCGGUUCUCUGGGCAUUACCUGACGCUGAGAAGCGAAAGCGUGGGGAGCAAACAGGCUUAGAUACCCUAGUAGUCC
rnacentral:rRNA from 1 species